rnacentral:rRNA from 1 species
UGGGUAUGUUAAUAGCAUAUUCAUUUGACGUUAGCUGCAGAAGAAGCACCGGCUAACUCCGUGCCAGCAGCCGCGGUAAUACGGAGGGUGCGAGCGUUAAUCGGAAUUACUGGGCGUAAAGCGCAUGCAGGUGGUUUGUUAAGUCAGAUGUGAAAGCCCGGGGCUCAACCUCGGAAUUGCAUUUGAAACUGGCAAACUAGAGUACUGUAGAGGGGGUAGGAAUUUCAGGUGUAGCGGUGAAAUGCGUAGAGAUCUGAAGGAAUACCGGUGGCGAAGGCGGCCCCCUGGACAGAUACUGACACUCAGAUGCGAAAGCGUGGGGAGCAAACAGGAUUAGAUACCCUGGUAG